UGUCCUGGAACUGACUCUGUAGACCAGGCUGGCUGUGAAUUCAGAAAUCCGCCUGCUUCUGUCUCCCAAGUACUGUGCAUCACCAAGCCCAGCUUUAAAGACCCACAGACACACGGAAGCUCACCCACUGGAAGCCCACCACUACUGUCCCAGCUCUCCAUCCAUCUUCCUGUUUACAGCUAAAGUUCUCGGUUUCUCUGAAGAUGCUAUGGUAGGUGGCGCACAGAGCUGAACAGGCUGACAAUCAACACCCCAUUCUAUCCGCUCCGGGUCUCCCUGACAACCUAGUAAGUUGUCCAAGAAAACCUUGAAUUUGUCAGUUCCCUUAACAGUGCAUGUCUUU